rnacentral:lncRNA from 1 species
AGGGCCAACCUGGGGGAGCUCAGGUGCAUGCAAUGUACCUGAGUGACCGGAAGAGGGUAGAGCCAGGAUCCAGCCCUUCCCAGACCUCAUUUAAGGGUUGGCAGUGGAGUCAAGGUUAUGCUUGCUUGCUGGAGAUCCCUAUUCAUCUGAGGCCUUACAAGGCUUCUCAGUCGUUGGCAACUGCUCAGUCCCCAACGCCCGUGGGGAUGGGUUGCUCUGACUGCUUUUCAUCUUCUCCAUCAGUGGUCCUAUCUUGCUGCCAUUGUUUUCAUGGCAUCAAAGUGUAGCAGUGUCCUAGCAUACCAAGGAAUUUCUAAGCUGUAUGUGGAUGUACACAUUGUUGAGUAUAUUGGAAUAAACUCACCGAUUAGAUUUUUUUUUUUUAAACAAACCCAUUAGUGAAAUAUUUUACUUGGAAUCUCUAAAAACUGUUGUUCAAUCAUGUAAUUUUCUCCUUUGGCAGAUUUUCAAAGUUUUCAAAAUAUAGAUUGUUCUGUAAUUUUGGUCCCCAC